GACGAACCUUGCUAACGUUAUUCGGAAUUACUGGGCUUAAAGGGUGCGUAGGCGGUGCGGAAAGUUGGGUGUGAAAGCCCUCGGCUCAACCGAGGAAUUGCGCCCAAAACUGCCGCACUAGAGGAAGACAGAGGUACGCGGAACUUAGGGUGGAGCGGUGAAAUGCGUUGUUAUCCUAAGGAACACCGGUGGCGAAAGCGGCGUACUGGGUCUUAUCUGACGCUGAGGCACGAAAGCUAGGGGAGCGAACGGG
rnacentral:rRNA from 1 species